rnacentral:rRNA from 1 species
CCUACGGGGGGCAGCAGUGAGGAAUAUUGGUCAAUGGACGCAAGUCUGAACCAGCCAAGUAGCGUGCAGGAUGACGGCCCUCCGGGUUGUAAACUUCUUUUAUAUGGGAAUAAAAUGUUCCACGUGUGGGAUUUUGUAUGUACCAUAUGAAUAAGGAUCGGCUAACUCCGUGCCAGCAGCCGCGGUAAUACGGAGGAUCCGGGCGUUAUCCGGAUUUAUUGGGUUUAAAGGGAGCGUAGGUGGAUUGUUAAGUCCGUUGUGAAAGUUUGCGGCUCAACCGUAAAAUUGCAGUUGAAACUGGCAGUCUGGAGUACAGUAGAGGUGGGCGGAAUUCGUGGUGUAGCGGUGAAAUGCUUAGAUAUCACGAAGAACUCCGAUUGCGAAGGCAGUUCACUGGACUGCAACUGACACUGAGGCUCGAAAGUGUGGGUAUCAAACAGGAUUAGAUACCCCUGUAGUC